rnacentral:rRNA from 1 species
UACAGAGGGUGCAAGCGUUAAUCGGAAUUACUGGGCGUAAAGCGCACGUAGGCGGCUUUGCAAGUUAGAGGUGAAAGCCCGGGGCUCAACUCCGGAAUUGCCUUUAAAACUGCAUCGCUAGAAUUGUGGAGAGGUAAGUGGAAUUCCGAGUGUAGAGGUGAAAUUCGUAGAUAUUCGGAAGAACACCAGUGGCGAAGGCGACUUACUGGACACAUAUUGACGCUGAGGUGCGAAAGCGUGGGGAGCAAACAGG